GUAGAGGUAAGCUACUAAGGGCGUUCGGUGGAUGCCUUGGCACCAAGAGGCGAUGAAAGACGUGGCAAGCUGCGAUAUGCUUCGGGGAGCUGCUUAGCAAGCUUUGAUCCGGAGAUCUCUGAAUGGGGAAACCCACUGCUUCGGCAGUAACGUUAGCUGAAUUCAUAGGCUAACGUGGCUAACCCGGGGAACUGAAACAUCUCAGUACCCGGAGGAAUAGAAAUCAAUUGAGAUUCCGCUAGUAGCGGCGAGCGAACGCGGAAGAGCCUAAACCAUGGUGCUUGCACCAUGGGGUUGUAGGGCAGCUCUUACGAUGUGAACGACUAACAAAAGAGUCUGGAAAGGCUCACCAUAGAGGGUGAUAGUCCCGUAUGUGAAAGUCUGAAGCAUUUGAGCUGUUCCUGAGUAGGGCGGGACACGUGUAACCCUGUCUGAAUCUAGGAGGACCAUCUUCUAAGGCUAAAUACUACUUGGUGACCGAUAGUGAAUCAGUACCGUGAGGGAAAGGUGAAAAGAACCCCGUUGAGGGGAGUGAAAUAGAUCCUGAAACCGAGCGCUUACAAGCAGUCGGAGCGAAAGUGACGGCGUGCCUUUUGCAUAAUGAGCUAGCGAGUUAACGUUGCCGGCAAGAUUAAGGCCUUCAGGGCCGAAGUCACAGCGAAAGCGAGUCUUAAUAGGGCGUACAGUCAGUAGCGUUAGACCCGAAACUGAGUGAUCUAUCCAUGGGCAGGUUGAAGCUGGGGUAAUUCCUAGUGGAGGACCGAACCCUUGAAUGUUGAAAAAUUCUGGGAUGACCUGUGGAUAGGGGUGAAAGGCUAAUCAAACUCAGUGAUAGCUGGUUCUCGUCGAAAUAUAUUUAGGUAUAGCGUCUAGUGUUCCUUAAUGGGGGUAGAGCACUGAUUGGGCUAGGGGUCCCACAAGAUUACCAAACCCACUCAAACUCCGAAUACCAUUACAGCUAAACUAGGCAGUCAGACUGCGGGUGAGAAGGUCCGUAGUCGAGAGGGAAAGAGCCCAGACCAUCAGCUAAGGUCCCCAAGACAACACUAAGUGGAAAACGUUGUGGGAGUGCGUAGACAGCCAGGAGGUUGGCUUAGAAGCAGCCACCCUUUAAAGAAAGCGUAACAGCUCACUGGUCAAGUGCUCCUGCGCGGAAGAUGUAACGGGGCUAAGUGUUGCACCGAAGCUAUGGAUCCGAAAGGAUGGUAGACGAGUAUUGAAGUCGCCUGUGAAGGUACACCGCGAGGGGUGCUGGAGGUCCUUCAAGAGCUCAUGCUAGCAUAAGUAGCGAUAAGGAGAGUGAGAAACUCUCCCGCCGGAAGUCCAAGGUUUCCUGGGCCAGGGUAAUCCUCCCAGGGUUAGUCGGCACCUAAGGUGAGGCCGAAAGGCGUAAUCGAUGGAUAACAGGUUAAUAUUCCUGUACUUCUAUGCGGAGUGAUGCGGGGGUGGAGAAGGGUAGCUGCGCUGGGUGAUGGAUAUCCCAGUUCAAGCCCGUAGGCUGGUGCUUUUGGAAAAUCCGGAGCGCUAAGGCUGAGAGGUGAUGAGGUGGUCCUCGGACCGGAAGGCAGUAAUCCCAUGCUCACAAGAAAAGCCGCUAAACGUUGAAACAUAGAAACCGUACUCUAAACCAACUCAGGUGGACAGGUAGAGAAUACUAAGGCGAUUGAGUGAAACAAGGCUAAGGAACUCGGCAAAUUGAUACCGUAACUUCGGGAUAAGGUAUGCCUCCAGCGUGUAAGGACUUGCUCCUGAAGCGUAGUGAGGUUGCAGAGAAGAGGGGGUAGCGACUGUUUAUCAAAAACAUAGCACUCUGCUAAAUCGCAAGAUGAUGUAUAGGGUGUGACGCCUGCCCGGUGCUGGAAGGUUAAAAGGAGGUGUUAGCAUUAGCGAAGCAUCGAAUUGAAGCCCCAGUAAACGGCGGCCGUAACUAUAACGGUCCUAAGGUAGCGAAAUUCCUUGUCGGGUAAGUUCCGACCUGCACGAAUGGCGUAACGACUUCCCCGCUGUCUCGGCCUUGUGCUCAGCGAAUUUGAAAACCGGGUGAAGAUGCCCGGUACCCGCAGCAAGACGGAAAGACCCCGUGAACCUUUACUACAGCUUGGCAUUGGUAAUUGGAAUUGUUUGUGUAGGAUAGGUGGGAGACUUUGAACCUAGGGCGCCAGUCUUAGGGGAGUCAUCCUUGAAAUACCACCCUGAUAAUUCUGAUUGCCUAACCUCGGCCCAUUAUCUGGGCUAGGAACAAUGCCUGGUGGGUAGUUUGACUGGGGCGGUCGCCUCCCAAACAGUAACGGAGGCGCCCAAAGGUUCCCUCAGACCGAAUGGAAACCGGUCGAAGAGUGCAAAGGCAUAAGGGAGCUUAACUGCGAGACCGACAGGUCGAGCAGGUACGAAAGUAGGGCUUAGUGAUCCGGUGGUUCCGCAUGGAAGGGCCAUCGCUCAACGGAUAAAAGGUACUCCGGGGAUAACAGGCUGAUACCGCCCAAGAGUUCACAUCGACGGCGGUGUUUGGCACCUCGAUGUCGGCUCAUCACAUCCUGGGGCUGAAGCAGGUCCCAAGGGUUUGGCUGUUCGCCAAUUAAAGUGGUACGCGAGCUGGGUUCAGAACGUCGUGAGACAGUUCGGUCCCUAUCUGCUGUGGGCGCAGGAAAUUUGAGAGGAGCUGACCUUAGUACGAGAGGACCGGGUUGGACGAACCAAUGGUGUACCUGUUGUCGCGCCAGCGGCACCGCAGGGUAGCUAUGUUCGGAUGGGAUAACCGCUGAAAGCAUCUAAGUGGGAAGCCCACCUCAAGAUUAGAUUUCCCUAGGUUUACCUCUGAAGAUCCGUUCUAGACUAGGACGUUGAUAGGCUGGAUGUGGAAGUACAGUAAUGUAUGGAGCUGACCAGUACUAACCGAUCGUGAGGCUUAUUUUA
rnacentral:rRNA from 1 species